UCCAGGACGGGGGCGUCGCGGGGAGGCCUGCAGGGUUGUGGAGCGUCGGGCUGAGCUCCUGGGAGGACGGAGUGUCACUUCCUGAGAUGGGGACACUUCGGGCGUGCUGGCUUUGGUGAAGAGGAUUGAAGCAGUUUUUCUUUUUUUUUUUUUUUUUUUUGCGACAGGGCCUCUGGAGUGCAGUGGCGUGAUCUCGGCUCACUACAGCGUCUGCCUAACGUGUUCAAGCGAUCCUCCCACCUCAGCCUGUUGAGCAGCCGGGACCCCAGAAAGUUUCCUACACUACUGAGGUUUAGGGGCACUGUGAAGCAAAAGCCACGCCUCAGAAUCCCAGGCGGAGACUCCGACCUCCUCCCGGGAGGGAAGCCAGUAGCUGAGCACCUGCGGGAGAUUAAAGAGAGGAAUAAGGAGGUGAGUACAUGACAAAGAGCCACAGUCGCAGUCAGUGGGGCCUGGCUCAGAACAGGCUGUGCUGGGAAGCGGGAGCAGGAGCUGGCGCCGCCUUGCGGGCUGGCAGAGGACCAUCCACUCCCUGGCGCUGGGGCCGUCCCAUCUCAUGGGCAAGAAACGUGAGACCCCUGGCUCGCUCCACACACAACCUAAGUGCCAGAUGGAUGAGACGCCUACGCGUGAGUAAAUGCCAGGAACAUGAGACUCGAACGUGGCAGGAUAUCCUUCUGCCCACGAAUCUAAAAGCUUACUCGGUAAUGGGAGAAUGGUUCCAAUUUGAUAAACUCGGGUUUUUAGAACGUCUGUGCUCCAGAAACACUGGAAGGCAAGUGGCUGCUCGCUGGAGGAGAUAAUUGGAUGCUGCAAGCGGCAAAGGGCUCGGGAUGCAAAACACCGCAAGAAAUGCGACAAGGGAGGAGCAUUCCCGCAAAGAAAAAACGCACAGGCCGAGAGCAGUGGCUCACGCCUGUAAUUCCAGCACUUUGGGAGGCCGAGGCAGGUGCAUCGCUUGAGGACAGGCGUUCGAGACUAGCCUGGCCAACAUGGUGAAACCCCAUCUCUACUAAAAAUACAAAAAAAAAAAAAAAAAAAAAAUUAACCGGCUGUGGUGGCGAGUUCCUGUGGUCCCAGCUACUCGGGAGGCUGAGGCAGGAGAAUCGCUUGAACCUGGGAGACAGAGGUUGCAGUGAGCCAAGAUCGUGUCACUGCACUCCAGCCUGGGCAACAGAGUGAGACUCUGUCAAAAAAGAAAAAAAAAUUGCACAAAUGGCA
rnacentral:lncRNA from 1 species